rnacentral:rRNA from 1 species
AGCAGCCGCGGUAAUUCCAGCUCCAAUAGCGUAUAUUAAAGUUGUUGCAGUUAAAAAGCUCGUAGUUGAAUUUCGGGAUCAAUAAGUUGGUCGUGCCAAUGGUAUGUACUGGCUUUAUUGGUUCCUACCUCUUGACGAACUGUGAUGCCAUUAAUUUGGUGUUGCAGGAAAUCAGGACUGUUACCUUGAAAAAAU